rnacentral:misc_RNA from 1 species
CCAAUAGCGUAUAUUAAAGUUGUUGCAGUUAAAAAGCUCGUAGUUGAACUUCGGGGUCUACCCAUUGGUCAGGCUUAAUUGUCUGCACUGGUGAGAUGGAUCUCUACCUUCUGAGGAACUUUCAUGCCAUUUAUUUGUUGUGAUGGGAAAUCAGGACUGUUACUUUGAAAAAAUUAGAGUGUUUAAAGCAGACUAUCGUCUGAAUACAUUAGCAUGGAAUAAUGAAAUAGGACGGACUGAUUCUAUUUCGUUGGUUUCUAGGAUCACCGUAAUGAUUAAUAGGGAUAGUUGGGGGCAUUAGUAUUCAAUUGUCAGAGGUGAAAUUCUUGGAUUUAUUGAAGACUAACUACUGCGAAAGCAUUUGCCAAGGAUGUUUUCAUUAAUCAAGAACGAAAGUUAGGGGAUCGAAGACGAUCAGAUACCGUCGUAGUCUUAACCAUAAACUAUGCCGACUAGGGAUCGGACGAAGUUAAUUUUAUAAUGACGCGUUCGGCACCUUACG